CCUACGGGGGGCAGCAGUGAGGAAUAUUGGUCAAUGGGCGCGAGCCUGAACCAGCCAAAUAGCGUGAAGGAUGACUGCCCUACGGGUUGUAAACUUCUUUUAUAAAGGAAUAAAGUGAGGCACGUGUGCCUUUUUGUAUGUACUUUAUGAAUAAGGAUCGGCUAACUACGUGCCAGCAGCCGCGGUAAUACGUAGGGAGCAAGCGUUGUCCGGAAUUACUGGGCGUAAAGGGCGCGUAGGUGGGCGCUUAAGUCAGGUGUGAAAACUCCGGGCUCAACCUGGAGACUGCACUUGAAACUGGGUGU
rnacentral:rRNA from 1 species